UACGGGGGGGGCAAGCGUUGUUCGGAAUUACUGGGCGUAAAGGGCUCGUAGGCGGCCAACUAAGUCCGACGUGAAAUCCCCAGGCUUAACCUGGGAACUGCGUCGGAUACUGGAUGGCUUGAAUCCGGGAGAGGGAUGCGGAAUUCCAGGUGUAGCGGUGAAAUGCGUAGAUAUCUGGAGGAACACCGGUGGCGAAGGCGGUCUGCUGGGCAGUUGCUGACACUGAGGCGCGACAGCGUGGGGAGCAAACAGG
rnacentral:rRNA from 1 species